GAUGAACGCUGGCGGCGUGCCUAAUACAUGCAAGUCGAGCGAACAGACGAGGAGCUUGCUCCUCUGACGUUAGCGGCGGACGGGUGAGUAACACGUGUAUAACCUACCUAUAAGACUGGGAUAACUUCGGGACACCGGAGCUAAUACCGGAUAAUAUAUUGAACCGCAUGGUUCAAUAGUGAAAGACGGUUUUGCUGUCACUUAUAGAUGGAUCCGCGCUGCAUUAGCUAGUUGGUAAGGUAACGGCUUACCAAGGCAACGAUGCGUAGCCGACCUGAGAGGGUGAUCGGCCACACUGGAACUGAGACACGGUCCAGACUCCUACGGGAGGCAGCAGUAGCGAAUCUUCCGCAAUGGGCGAGAGCCUGACGGAGCAACGCCGCGUGAGUGAUGAAGGUCUUCGGAUCGUAAAACUCUGUUAUUAGGGAAGAACAAAUGUGUAAGUAACUAUGCACGUCUUGACGGUACCUAAUCAGAAAGCCACGGCUAACUACGUG
rnacentral:rRNA from 1 species